rnacentral:tRNA from 1 species
GGGAGUUAGCUCAGUUGGUGAGAGCCACAGUCUUAUAAACUGUAAGCCCUAACAAGGUAUGCAACGUGGGUUCGAUCCCCACACUCCCCA